GGAAGUGAAUGGGCUGGUUAAGGAGUAUAUAAGGCGCUCUCUGCACACGACUCAGGCAAUCUGCAAAGAGCACAAGGAAUCUUACGACCUCCUGGAUUUUUUCCUUACAGCUGUUUCUGUGAAAAAGAUGCGUUUCCUUCUCGCGUUGCUGGCGCUGGUCUGCCUGCUGGGCGCCGUCCUCGCCAGCCCUCUGCCUCAGACCAGGGACAACCAAAGGAACCCGAGGCAACAGAAUAAUCCUCUGCGCCAGAACUCCGGCAGCGACUCCCAAGGACCCGCAAAUUACCGGAAACCGUACGUGUUCGACGACUUCCUCGGAGGCAGAUAGCGGGCGACGCUGACCUGGUCUCGCUGGCAACUGGGCUGUGACGUGUUUACCCUUAUAUGGCCGGUCUCUUGGACGGUUGUGUAUGGCACCUUAGUCGUUUAGCUUAUUUAUUAGAUUCGUAAGGUCGGUGUGGAAAUUAUGUUGAUAUUCUUGUAUACAAAUCAAUUAACUGGAUAGCGAGACAUUUUGGAAACAAUCGUUGCUAUAUUUGUAUGUGUACAUGAGCAUGCAUCUGUAUAUAUAUGUGUAUAUAUAUAUGUGUAUAUUACGGAUGGAUUUCUAUUUUGUGAAUAAUGCUGUUAGCCAUAAACGAGUAAUUUCGCCGAGGCUAUAGAAAGUGAAUCGUUUAUGAUGUUUAACUCAACCUUGUAUCUGACUUCGAAGUGCUGCUUGUUCCAAUGUUAAUAAGGAUGAUGGUGUGUGUGCUGCUUAUAAUCAUGAUAACGGCAAUGAAAUUUAAUUAGCAUUUCCCUUUUCUUUUUUAUAUAAUUUUCAUUACCAUCAUCAUUAUAAUUACUGGUAUAUUUUUUGUCAUUAUCAUUUUCAUCAUAAACAUCAUUAU